rnacentral:misc_RNA from 1 species
GUGGCCUUGGGCGCCACAAGAACUAUAAAAAAUGACACGAAAUCAAUAGCCAAGCAAUGGUGGUGACAUCAUCAAUGGUAAUAAGUCAACAAGAAGCAAAAUGAAGGCAUGGAAAACAAGAAACAAGACAAUAAUACAUCAUGAUUCAAUAUGUAAGAGAAGUUCACCGAUUUUAACCAAGACCAUUAUACCAGAGACCUCAUUAAAUGCCACUUUACCUCAAAAAUGAUAUAUCAAUAUUACCAAGACACUUCAAAUUAGUAAAUAUCAUAGUUGGUUAGUCAAUUGACAUCAUGCCAAAAUUCAGGGUAACUCCACUCAUGCAGGAAAAGGGUUAUUCCAUGUCAUGUAACCCAGCACAGAAUCAAUAAAUGCAUAAGUGAAUAUCCGAAAAAUUAUAGUAGCAAAAUAGAGAUCAUACAGUCACCUACCCAAUUAAAAAUAAUGAAAGCCAUCAUUUCUACCAAUGCAAUUAAACAGAAUUUUCAGUAGAAUGAUUAAUCUUACCUGGAAGAAAUGA